GACAGAGGGUGCAAACGUUGCUCGGAAUCACUGGGCGUAAAGGGCGUGUAGGCGGGAAGGAAAGGCAGAUGUGAAAUCCCUGGGCUCAACCCAGGAACUGCAUUUGAAACUCCCUUUCUUGAGUGUCGGAGAGGAAAGUGGAAUUCCUGGUGUAGAGGUGAAAUUCGUAGAUAUCAGGAGGAACACCGGUGGCGAAGGCGGCUUUCUGGACGACAACUGACGCUGAGACGCGAAAGCGUGGGGAGCAAACAGG
rnacentral:rRNA from 1 species